GUGGCGGGGAGGCACACCAUGCGAAAGCAUGGGUCGCAAAGCUAGAGGGCCCUCAUGUAGCGGGCGCUACGUAGGGCAGCCAGUUGCCAGA
rnacentral:ncRNA from 1 species